CCUACGGGAGGCAGCAGUGAGGAAUAUUGGUCAAUGGCCGUAAGGCUGAACCAGCCAAGUAGCGUGAGGGAAGACUGCCCUAUGGGUUGUAAACCUCUUUUAUGCGGGGAUAAAGGCGUCCACGGGUGGAUGUUUGCAGGUACCGCAUGAAUAAGGACAGGCUAAUUCCGUGCCAGCAGCCGCGGUACUACGGAAGGUCCGGGCGUUAUCCGGAUUGAUUGGGUUUAAAGGGAGCGUAGGCCGGUCUUUAUGGGUGCCGUGAAAUUUUGUGGCUCAACCAUGAGAGUGCGGCGCGAACUGGGGACCGUGAGGGCGCGGAAGGCAGGCGGGAUUCGUGGUGGAGCGGUGAAAUGCUGAGAU
rnacentral:rRNA from 1 species